AGACCCAGGCCCCACACAGGGUUGCCCAAACCAAGAUGCUCAGUUAAACCUGAAUUUUAGAUAAUUAAUAGAUAAUCUUUUUUUUUUUUUUUUGGUACCAGGGAUUGAACUCGGGUCCUUUUGGUUGCAAGACAGGUGGCAGAACCACUGAGAUAGGCCAGGGUGCUGCUGUGGUCUUUCCAGUGCAUUUGCAAGAUGGGGACAUCUCUGAACAUGGGAGCAGAAAGCUCUACCUGCAGCCAUGGAGGCCUGCAAUGAUGGCAAAGGGCAUUAAUGAUGAGCUCCUGCCCCUGACCCCGACCUCAUCAACCACUGCUCCUCUCCCCAGCCGGGGUCUGCAAUCCAGCCAGCUGCAGAGGAGUUUAAAGGGUAGCCGUCCCCAGUCAGCCAGCUGGCCAUUAAUAAUGUUUUCAUCCGUGACAAUGACAAACCUGCAGUACUUGUGGAGAGUUUAUUAAGAAAAGACAGUGAAAUGGAAGUCCCUAUGGUAAUCAAUUCUCAAUUGUGCAGAAGCAUCAACAAAUCAGAAUGGCCCAAUGGUCAGGCUAGGAGAAGCCAAAGAGAGAGGCCUCAGAUGAAAUCAGCCUUGAGAACUUGAUCUCAAACUUCCAGCAUCUAGAAUGGUGAGAAAACAAAUACCUGCUGUUUGAGGGUGCCCAGCCUAUGGCUCUUUGUUAGUGAUAGUGAAAAAAAUAUACCAGGGACGCAAAGAGCUCCAACCAAGUUCUGGAAGUGACUGUGACUGAGUACUCAGAGAACUGUGUUGCUCUG
ensembl:lncRNA